rnacentral:rRNA from 1 species
UACGUAGGGGGCAAGCGUUGUCCGGAAUUAUUGGGCGUAAAGAGCGUGUAGGCGGUUCGGUAAGUCAGCUGUAAAAGUCCAGGGCUCAACCCUGGAAAGCCGGUGGAAACUGUCGAACUAGAGUCCGGAAGAGGCGAGUGGAAUUCCUGGUGUAGCGGUGAAAUGCGCAGAUAUCAGGAGGAACACCAAUGGCGAAGGCAGCUCGCUGGGACGGUACUGACGCUGAGACGCGAAAGCGUGGGGAGCAAACAGG